rnacentral:tRNA from 1 species
AGUAGUGUAAUGGUCAGCACUAUGGUCUUUGGAUCCAAAGGUUGCAGGUUUGAAUCCUACCU